UGGGGAAUUUUGGACAAUGGGCGAAAGCCUGAUCCAGCAAUGCCGCGUGUGUGAAGAAGGCCUUCGGGUUGUAAAGCACUUUUGUCCGGAAAGAAAUCCUUGGCUCUAAUACAGUCGGGGGAUGACGGUACCGGAAGAAUAAGCACCGGCUAACUACGUGCCAGCAGCCGCGGUAAUACGUAGGGUGCAAGCGUUAAUCGGAAUUACUGGGCGUAAAGCGUGCGCAGGCGGUUUGCUAAGACCGAUGUGAAAUCCCCGGGCUCAACCUGGGAACUGCAUGGUGACUGGCAGGCUAGAGUAUGGCAGAGGGGGGUAGAAUUCCACGUGUAGCAGUGAAAUGCGUAGAGAUGUGGAGGAAUACCGAUGGCGAAGGCAGCCCCCUGGGCCAAUACUGACGCUCAUGCGCGAAAGCGUGGGGAGCAAACAGGAUUAGAUACCCCGGGUAGUCCACGCCCUAAACGAUGUCAACUAGUUGUUGGGGAUUCAUUUCCUUAGUAACGUAGCUAACGCGUGAAGUUGACCGCCUGGGGAGU
rnacentral:rRNA from 1 species